rnacentral:misc_RNA from 1 species
GAUGAAGAACGUAGCGAAAUGCGAUACGUAAUGUGAAUUGCAGAAUUCAGUGAAUCAUCGAAUCUUUGAACGCAUAUUGCGCUCUCUGGUAUUCCGGAGAGCAUGCUUGUUUGAGUAUCAGUAAACACCUCAACUCCCUUUUCUUUUUUGAAAUUGGAGCUGGACUUGAGUGAUCCCAACGCUUUCUUCCAAGAAAGUGGCGGGUUGCUUGAAAUGCAGGUGCAGCUGAACUUUUCUCUGAGCUAUAGCAUAUCUAUUUAGUCUGCCUAAAAAACAGAUUAUUACCUUUGCUGCAGCUAACAUAAAGGAGACUAGUUCUUGUGCUGACUGAUGCAGGAUUCACAGAGACAGCUUCGGCUGACUUUGUAAACUCGAUCUCAAAUCAAGUAAGACUACCCGCUGAACUUAAGCAUAUCAAUAAGCGGAGGA